GAAAAGCUAGUUUAAUCUAAAAUACUUGAUUUCGACUCAAUUGAUUAUGGUGUAACCCCAUAGCUUUUCU
rnacentral:tRNA from 2 species